rnacentral:rRNA from 1 species
GACGAACGCUGGCGGCGUGCCUAAUACAUGCAAGUCGAACGAGCGGCGGACGGGUGAGUACUGUCUGGGAAGCUGCCUGAUGGAGGGGGAUAACUACUGGAAACGGUAGCUAAUACCGCAUACCAUCAGAUGUGCCCACAUGGGAUGAGCUAGUAGGUGGGGUAACGGCUCACCUAGGCGACGAUACCUAGCUGGUCUGAGAGGAGGACCAGCCAAACUGGAACUGAGACACGGCCCAGAAGCCUACGGGAGGUAGCAGUGGGGAAUAUUGCACAAUGGGCGCAAGCCUGAUGCAGCCCUGCCGCGUGUGCGAAGAAGGCCUUCGGGUUGUAAAGCACUUUCAGCGGGGAGGCGUUACCCGCAGAAGAAGCACCGGCUAACUCCGUGCCAGCAGCCGCGGUAAUUC